rnacentral:snRNA from 1 species
AUCUUUGCGCUUGGGGCAAUGACGCAGCUAGUGAGGUUAUACCGAGGCGCGUCAAUUGCUGGUUGAAAACUAUUUCCAAACCCCCUCCUCGGCCUUGGUUCUGCCAGGGCUGUCGAGAAUUUCUGGAAAGGCUCCCUCUAAACAAGGGUAAAGCC